rnacentral:lncRNA from 1 species
UUCAAAAGGACGGAGAAGCUCCACGAUUCCAGUGGAAAGGAAGAGGGAGAGAUAUUGGGGGAGAAGAGAAGAAGAUGAGCAUUUUACUGUGGAGAGAGAAAGAGAAAGAGAGAGAGAGAGAGGGAGAGAGAGCCUGGGAGAGAUAGGAGAAAAGAAAAGAAGAAAUGACAAAAGAGAGGAAAGAGAAAGUUCCGUUAACUUUUUAACCCAGCUAACAGUGGCUUUUCAUAUUAAAAGUGAAAUCAAUCUCCACCAUCCAUCUAUCUAGAUGGAUGGUGGAUGGCUUAAUAGUACAGGGGCUGCUGUGCUCUUUAAGAGCACAGCAGCCCAACUCUCUCUCUCUCUCUCUCUAUAUAUAUAUAUAUAUGACGUGGCUACUAUACUAUUAUGAGUAUUGGAGCCCUCAGACUCAUAAGUUGUUUUCAAUAAUGCAGCUUCCGAAUCGACGAUCCACGCCGUUAAAUAUGAUCUAGGGUAUUUGAAACUUCUAGAAAAUAAAUUUUGUAAAUUUUCGAAAUCAUAAUAAAAUCCAUCAAGUGGGCAUAAAAUGAACGGUUAAAAUCGAACAACGUUCUAAAAAAGGAUGAUCGGAUCCUUCAAUUCAAAAUCAGAGUUACUGAUCUUUAUCUAUGUAGUGAAUAGAAUUUUCUAUCAAAAAUUCAACAAAUUCCGAUUCUUUUACACCGUUAAACUAGCAAGUAUCCCAUACCGGCCGUUAAAAAUUGUCAAAUUUGUGACCCCUUGAUCGUAAGGUAAAUGAUGUCGAAAAAUUAUAAAAUUUGAUUUUUAGAAGUUUUAAAUGUUGUAAAUAAUGUUUAACGGUGUGGAUCGUCGAUUCGGAAGCUCUAUCAUCGAAAAUAACUUAUGAGUACGAAGGCGAUCGUACUCAUAAUAGUAUAGUAGCCGGACCCNNNNNNNNNNNNNNUAUUUGAUGUUAUAUUUGAAUUUGUAUUUUAAAAAUUUAGAUUUAUUAUAAUAUAUUUUGAAAUAUUGAAAAAAGAAAUAAUUGUUUCGGGUUCAAAUUUUUGGAUUCGGAUUUGGAUAUGGAUUUUUAAAAUCCGUUGGGUUCAGGUUCGGGUCUCGGGUUUGGAGUCGGGUUCGAGUUUGGGUUCGGGUUUUUGAAAAUUCGCCCGGAAUCCGAGCCGUUGACAUCUUUAGUUCCCAUUCCUACGAGGAGUUAAAAAAUUAGCAUCUCAAGUAGGGAUGCAAAUUGAUCCGAAUUUGUAGUGUUCUAGAGUUUCGAAUAGGAUUGGCUUUAGUGUUAGUAACUGGUCGGCAUAUCUGGAGAGUGUCGGACUGAGUCGGAGUAAACUCUGCACGAAAUGGAUAUAGAAAUGGACUCGGCGCACUCAAAUAAGCAAAACUAAAAUUUUACCAGAUUCGGGCACCCAGAACAGGUUUUGGGUCGCCCAGAAGUUGAGUGCAGAACUAGGCAGAACUGGAAGCCAAUUUGGGUCCAUGUUUCGGGUGCCCGGAUGUGGGUCCGAAAAUCCACUUUGGAAGUAUUGUUUGCGCUGACAUGUGGCUGAUAGUAGGUGAGGUCCGCCGGAGACGGUUAUGGACGCAGCACAUCGCGGGCGGAGGACCCGAAGGUGAGCAAGUGUGUAGUCUGGAGGUUUCGGACGCCCAGGGAAGAGUUUUGGGCGCCCGAAAGUGCCCGUUUCUACAGAAUUGUAGGUUUGCAGCUGUUAUUCCUGAGGCUUAUUGGACCAUUCUAACACCCUAUAAAUAGGUGGUGUUCGACCAUAGUGAGCUCUUUUCAUCUGUUCUUCAUAGAGAAGCCUCAAAUUGCAUCUUAAUCCUCCAAAUUCUUCAAAUCUCACAAUUCCAAGCUUAAAGAGUGCUGAUUCUGCAGAUUUCCAGCAACGACCUUCGGCAUUUCGGCUCGUGUGCAACGUAGGAAGGUCGGAUUGCAGUGAAACUUGGUUUGUUGGAUUCUUGACUUCAAUAGAAAUUCGUGAAGGCCAAUUUGACAGAAUUUGGUUGAGGUUAGCUUGGUCGAUUCCAUAUUUUUCUUCACUGCUGGCAGUUUUGACCUGAAAAUAGGAUUUUUGAUUAGUUCUUGAUGCUAUCUUUGAAAGCAGUGGAAUUUUGGAUCUGAGCUGGAUAUUUCCUUAUAUUUCGCUGCUUUUGGGACUUGGCUACACCUGAUUUGAGGGUUGAAAGGUAGAAUUAGCAUUGUAAUUGAGCCAAUUUUAGCUUAAGUGCUGAAAUUAUAGUUGUAUUGAUGGAUUUUGAUCUUAUUAAGGUUUAGAGUUUGGUGAACUCUUGUUGCUGGACUUGAGGAACUUCGGUUGAUCCAGCAGAAAUUUUUAGUGGUUCGAGACCUCCUUGCUACCAGGAAUUGCAUUAGAGGUGGGUUUUCAUCGGGUUACUCCUAAGUGCAUAUAUAGUUGACGUGUAUGAUUUCUAUUUUUUGUCUACUAUUCAGUUUGAUUGAAUUCAUCGAUUAGCCUUGGGCUGUAAUCUGAAUUGUAAAGCAUGCUGAAUGAGUUAAUAAAUUAUACAUGUUGGACUUUGAAUUUUGACUUAGGAGAAAACCAGCGUUUUGACCCGUCAUAUGAUUCUACUAUCUGAUUUAGCUCUAAUCUACAUAAGGCUCUACUAUAGAGAUGAAUUUUUAUAAUACAUAACGCAUGUAUUUUAAGCAUUCUAAAAUUCACAUAAAUUCUAUCUAGCAUGAAUAUGCAUACGAUGCGAUGAAACGAAAACAUUUAACCACUUAGGAGAAGUUUUCUCCUAUUCUAAUGAAGCCAAACCCACCGAAACUAUUUGAAACCCUUCGUUUGCUCAGACGAAGGUGUUCACCACUCUCCUAGUACCCUAAAGAUAUAGAAAAGAGAGAUACACGAAUGUUACGAACAAUCCUAGGUUCGAACAUUAAACAACUCAAGCAAAAGGGUGAAAACUCACCGAAAAUGGUGAAAAUCUCUCUCGAUCUCCCAAAGAGAGCAAGAACCCUCCAAAACCAACCUAAAGGAAGGUUCUAAUAAGAUCAAUCAAGAUCAAGAAGCCUCAAAUCAAAAAUUUCCAUUUAAACCCUAAUUUUUUCACAUUCUAGGGUUUCAUCUCACAAAACCUACUAAAACAAGGACCAAGGAGUAGAAAAGUGCUACUCACCUCUCAAGAUGCUCCAAACCAAGCUCCAAACCAAAUAGAGUUGAAGUCCUCCCUCCAAACAAGCUCCAACAAAAGCUUCAAAGCUUCUCCAAUGGUGAAGGACCAACAAAGAGCAAGGAGGAGAAGGAAAAAUAGAUCAAAACCAACCAAAAUCAUCAAAAAUGGAGAAGAAAUCAAAGGGAGAAGAACUCACCUUGUUCUCCACAGGUUAGGGCUCAAAAGAGCUCCUAAGGGGGCUAGUGUGAUAUUUAUAGGGUUUGCAACAAUUGCAAAUACACCCCCCCACAAUAUCAGCUCGCAAAGCAAAGUGUACCGGUACACGGAAAAGUGUACCGGUACAAGUCCUGCGCAACAGCCAACCCGAGCCUCGGGUUCGCAGAAAAUCCUCAUGUGUACCGGUACACUUCCGAUGUUGUACCGGUACACCAUCUGUUCCGGUACAACAUCAAUAUUGUACCGGUACACAACCCUACAACCAGUAACCCGAGAGCAGCCUAAGUCCAUCAUUUUGGUGACCUUAGCGCUACUUAAAAUACUACAAUUCUCAGGAUACGAGCCAUAGGUCGGAACAGUGUCAACGACCCUUCAGAAUAUCUGGAAAAGCUCGGAACACAAAUCAAACACUCAAACCUUACAAUUUGCAAAAGUCCAGUGUGUUACAUUCACCCAUCCUAAAAAGGAGUUUCGUCCGCGAAACUCAAAAACAACGUACCUCAAGACUCCAUCUGAAAGAGAUGGGGAUAGCGCUCCUGCAAAGCGCUCUCAAGCUCCCACGUGGCCUCUCGCUCCUCGUGGUUGCUCUAAAAAAUCUUCACAUAUGGAAUAUCUCGAUUCCGCAGCUUCCUCACUUCGCAAGCCAAGAUCCUCACGGGCUGCUCCUCAAAGCUCAAGUCCUCCCGCAACUCUAAAGGUGUAGCAUCCAAAACAUGAGUCGGGUCGACCACAUGAAGACUUUGACUCUUAGAGGGAUCUUGAGUUUCCAGAGGAAAGGUAUACUUCAAGCAUUUAUGCCAUCAAAGAUAAGCAAUCUGUAGGCGCGGCGUACCUCAAACCGACCAUCUUCGCUCCAUCGCCAAGCCGUUGAGUCGUUAUCAUUCGAUAGGGUAGUACUUUGAAUCAAUGUUUUGAGUCGCGGAAGCUCCUCUAGCUGCUCUUGUUGGCAACACUCGGGCUGGAAUUCCAGAUUGUUGUUUUGGGCAAAGCGCUGCAUCCAGUUAGCGACCGAGAGGUGUUUAUGACUCGAGAUGUCAUAGAGAUUGGGGAAUUGGUGCUGCAGAAGGAACUCACCGGACCAUCUCGCAUUCCAGAAAGACGUGUCCUUCCCAUCACCUAGUGAAACACAAGUGGACACAUGAAAAGGUGCUGCGGUGCUGAGAAUCGCUUUCCAGAUUGGGCUACAUCUAGUUGUUGAGUUGCCUCCAACAGACGGUUGUCGAAGCUUGUAGUGUUUUUGCUUGAUUAGUCGGACCCAAGGAAGGUUUUGAGAGUUGUAGAAAUUCCAUAAUCCCUUCAUCAGCAGUGCCGAGUUCAUCGCGUAAAGAUUUCGAACGCCCAAUCCCCCCCAUUUUUUUGGGCGACAUACUUGUUCCCACUUAACUAGGCAGUGAAAGCCAUUAUUCAAGUUUUGCCCCCGCCAAAAGAAAUGGCAACGGAUUUUGUCGAUUGAUUUUAUAACCCAGACUGGCAGACGAAACAGCGAGCAAAAAUAUGACGAGAUGCUGGAAAGAACCGAAUUAAGCAGUACGAGCCGACCCCCCCUUGAGAGUUAGGCCCUUCCAUCCCGCCAGGCAGUUAUCGAUCCUCUCUAUAAGCGGCAUGUAAUCCAAUCUGUGUAAUCUCUUAGGAGAGAGAGGGAGGCCUAGGUAAGUGAGUGGGAAGUCUUUCACAGAACAACCAAUAAAGUUAGCUAAGGAUGCAGCUUGGGUAGCAGGUGAGUUUAUUGGGGUUACAGAGCUCUUAUUGUAAUUGAUUGUGAGGCCCGAGCAUGCCGCAAACUUAUCAAGAAGAAGUUUAGUAGUUGCAGCUGACCUUGUGGAGCCAUCCAAGAAGAUAAUCAGAUCGUCCGCAAAUUGGAGUGUGUGUAGUCUGGCAUUUCCAAUCCCAAGGUCCGGUAGCAGGUGAGUUGUCGAUGCAGUCUGGAGCAUUCUGAAAAGGACAUCUACGCAUGGGAUGAAGAGGAGAGGAGAGAGCGGAUCGCCCUGCCUGAGCCCACGCUUACAAGUGAAUUUUUUUCCCGGAGAACCAUUAAGAAUCACAGACGUGCUACUCGAUUGCAGCAGAGCUUUAAUCCACGCGAUCCAACGUGGGCUAAAGCCCCUUACUUGGAGAAUGUUGAUCAGGAAGUGCCAAUUUACUCAGUCGAAAGCCCGCUCGAAGUCGAUCUUCAAGAGAGCUACCUGGUGCUUGGUGGUUUGCAAGUGAUGGAUGAGGAUAUGGGCAUAUUUGAAGUUAUCAAUAAUAUGACGACCCUUAAUGAAGGCAGUUUGGUGAGGGUUGAUCAAAACAUUCAAGAACAUUUGUAGUCGUGAAGCCAGGACCUUUGAAAUGAGUUUGGUUAUGCUGUGUACCAGACUUAUAAGGCGGAAGUCAUUGGCGAGUAUAGCAUCAUUCUUCUUCGGAAUAAGACAUAACCAGCUGGUGUUGAUGAGAUCCAGAUCCGCCGUACCAUUGUAGAAGGUGUUGAAAACGGCCAUUAUGUCUGCUUUAAGGAGGUCCCAGAAUCGCUUGUAGAAUAACAUCGGUAGUCCAUCAGGACCAGGGGCCUUCUCAGGAGGACUAGAGAAAACGGCUCGCCUUACUUCGUUUAAAGUGAACGAAGCCUAUAGACUAAAGAGGUCCAAAUGUUCAUCUCCAUAGAUAGCCUGAAGGUUAAUAUUGGCGGAGGCAACAUGUUCCACACCCAGUUGGUUGAGGAAGAAGGAGAAAAGAUGCUCAGCGAUCGGCUCGGGCGAGGAAAGAGUGACAGAGCUGUCCGAGAGUUUAGAGAUAAAAUUUUUGUUCCUGCAACCAUUGGCUUUGAGGUGAAAAAAUUUUGUAUUGGCAUCUCCCACCUUGAGAAAAAGAACUCUGGAUCUCUGCUUCCAUUUAAUCUCCUCUUGUAAGCAAAGGUCUUCAUAUCUGGCUUUGAGCUUCGGUCUCAGACUGCGCUCGUGGGUCGAUAAGAUUCUUCCUUCUUCUGCCUUGUCAAGCCAGUCAAUCCAGAGAAGACAUUGUUUAGCUUGUUCCCUUAAUGCUGAAGAGAGACCUGUGCUCCAAGAAUGCAGAGCGGAUUGGACAGAUUUGAUUUUCAACGAGAUAAGAGAGACAGAGUCGGAAUCAGGCGAAAUCAAGUUCCAUGCCGUGGAGACCACAUCGAAGACGGCAGGGUGACACAGCCAGUAGCUCUCAAAUCUGAAAUGAUUGACAUGAGGAAUGAAGGUGUAGGCCAAGAGUACCAAGGGCAUGUGGUCAAAUCGAGGUCGCGGGAGAGCUCGUAUGGUAGUUCGGGGGAAAGCGAGUUGCCAAGCAUUGGAAAUAAAAGUGCGAUCCAAACGCUCGAGAGUCGGAACACCCCUAUCAUUAGUAAAAAAGUGUCAACAACUGGGUGUGAGAACUACUGCAAAAUAGAGUAGUCCUUAGUGGGUACCGUUUUCGACCUCAACGGCCCGCUCACUAAGUCUACAGAAAUGAUAUGUACAGGAUAGUAAAGAAAGCUGGAAAAACUCUACAGCUACAUGCCUCUCUACUAUCGCUACCAAAACCAACUAGCUGUAGACAUAAAUAUGCAUCGCUAACAAGCAGUGAUCCAAUCUCACACGGGCUGCCCAAACGAACCCACCCUGUCUGUAAUCAAGCUACACCGUACACCACCUACGGGGAUGGCCGGUCCAAGAAAAUGGUCCAAACAGGACGGCUAUGAUAUCAAUGCAAGUAAAAGCCUCACUCCGGAGCGGCACUCGUGGGUGCGACCCAACCGAGUAUGCAAGCGUGUCUCUGCCGAGCUCAAAUAGACUCUCACAGGCUGUAGUCAAUGCAAAUAGGUCUAAUUGGUCUAACAACCAAAGCUCACGUGCCCUUGGCACAAUCUGAUGCAAGGUAAAGAAAUUUGGGUCCACCGUCGACCACGACGGCACCCGACAUUAUGAAACAGUCUACACACUACUUGUAGAGACCUGGAAUUUUAGCUUAGGCUUGUCGACAGCUCUGUAGAGUGUCGGGACAAGUCCGGGUCGCGUUGGCGCGAAGUGGACGCCAAACGGGCCUUGUGGGAACUUGAGAGCAACGUGUAUCUUGAAGAUCUGCGAAAUAGCAGAUUUUCAGUGAGCUGUACCGGUACAAAUCUGGGUUUGUACCGGUACAAAGUGGAAGCAUGGUGCAAGUUGACUUUUUGGCCAUCUUGUCACAUCACCCCCCUUUAACCCUUACCUUGGAGCAGAGAGGAGAGAGAGGGGGGAGCUUCUUCAUGCUGCUGCUGCUGUGCUUCUUCUUCCUCUCCUUCUACUUCCCUUAGCAACCUAGAGUGUUGGANUGGAGCGAGUAGUGUUCUUUUGUAUCCGUGGCUGAUGUAGGUAUAUUAAGUUUGUUAUUUCUACCUGCUUGUUUAUAGUUUACUUCAGCUCUAUACUACUGCUUGUAGUAUUGUAUGUUUAUACAGGUUCAGCUACGCUUCGUAUACCGGAGAAAUUCUCUUGUAUACGGCGGAUUUGUCGGCGUGCCCGGGAGACUGUGCAGCCCGGGGCGUGACACUACUGUGAAACGAGCUCGGCCUCCCAGCACGAGCGUAAACUCACCAUACACUAAUCUAGGUAUCCAAUACGCACUAACAACGGGGAUACAAAAGAACCACGGCUCCUGCAGCUAAAUCUGGUAACUUUUCAGAAAAUGGCAUUGUAGAUUUUCACGUGUUUUCUCCUAAGUCAAUUCCCAAUUCAACAUGUAAAAAGCUUCUAAAAUUAAGGCUCCAAAAUUUAGAUUCCAUAACUAAGCGAAUCGGUGAAUUCGACCUACUAAAGAUGAUACUAUACAUCAAAACAAUACAUGCUGACACUCGACUUAGAAGGAAAUCUGACGAUUUCGGCAAACAUUAACCCACCUUGAGCGCUCGUCCAACGUCGGUAAGAAAUCGACAGAAGAAAACCCGCACGCUCGCUUGAUCUCCAACGACUCCCCCGAAACGCCCAUGCACACGAACGGUUCACCAGAGAAACAACUACUCCAAACGAGCACAAACCUCGAUCUCCCCGAAGCACGGCGUACACCAGCUAGAGAGAGAGAAAGAGAAGCAGCUAGCUGAGUUUACAAAGCUUCCAACAUAUAUAUAAGGUUGGGGGUCGGUUGGGAUAAUCGUCAACCAAAAGGACCAAAUCGCCCCUUACCAACUCACUUUUCCAGCUGGAGUACCAAUACUCAGCUUGAAAACCGGUACUCGGCCCCUCAUUUCGCGAUCUCGCACACUGGGUAUUGAUACCAACCCGAUGCAGUAUCGGUACCCGAGCUCGAUACCGUUACUCGACAACAGGUAUCGGUACUCAGCAUCAGAUUUGCACAAACUCGAGAGCACCCAGUUCUGCAAUCUCACUAGAGUACCGGUAUUUCUCCCCAGAUAUCGGUACUCAACACUGAAAUCCUGCACUUUACAGAUUCCAGUGUCAGAACUCUACUCUCGCAACGCACUGAGUCUGUUUUGCGUCCAUUUUGAGCUAAAAUGACUUCGACUUGUCUCAACACCCACCAGACGUGUCGACAAGCCCCAGAUGCUGAAAUCACAUCAACCGUUAAAUACCAGGGAUACUACAUAUAUAUAUAAAAAUUUGAUGUUAUAUUUGAAUUUGUAUUUGUAGAACGCAACGGAAGUAUUCGUUCGUACCUUUUUGCGGAAGCGAUUCACGUUACAACUCAAUGAGCCCGGAUCGUCGAGGUUGAUUCACGUGUCCUUUGAUCGUCCUUGAUUAAAUCUUCUCACGUUCCAAACUCGCGAUGGAUCGAACUACAAACGAGCACGAUCACAAAUCCACCGUUCAAGUCCCUCUUAGAAUAAUAGGUUGAUGGAAGAUGUGGUUUCUCUCUUUCGUUUUCUUAUUUUCUUUUCUUUUUCCAUUCUUGUUCAUCUCUUCAUUAUGUGGGAUCGCCCGCAUAUUUAUAAGGGAUUCCAAAAUCCUAGUAACGUUAGAAAUAAGGUCAAAUCGGUUAUUAAUUGUUAUCCUAAUAUGACUAGGAUUUAUCUCUAACUAAUUGAAAGCGAGAUUAAUUCCAAUCCAAUUAGAUAACAUAACAUCCGUCGGAUCGAACCCGCUUAUGGGCGUACCCGAUUCGAUUUAACCGAAUGCCAACAGUAUUUUAAAAUUUUAGAUUUAAUAUAAUAUAUUUUGAAAUAUUGAAAAAAAAAAUAAUUGUUUCGGGUUCAAAUUUUUGGGUUCGGGUUCGGGUUUGGGUUUCGAAAUUUUGGUCGGGUUCGGAUUUGGAUAUGGAUUUUUAAAAUCCGUCGGGUUCAGGUCUCGGGCUUGGAGUCGAGUUCGAGUUCGGGUUUUUAAAAAUCCGUCCCGAAUCCGACCAGUUGACAUCUCUACUUUUAAUUACACUUCGUACACUAGCAAAUCUGCUACCCUCUUUCUUUGUUGCAGAUUCGUUUGACCAUCCCUAAUGAUUUGGCUUCAAUUCAUGUAUGGGGAAUAACGGCAAAACCCUAGUGUCAUGAUUGUAGAAAAAGCCCCAAGUUGCUUGCCCUCUUUUCUAAUUCGCCAGGCACAUGCAUUGGAGGUGGGGCUAUUUCCGGUUCGCUAGGGUCGAAGGCAUCGUAACAAAAUAAUAUUUGAAGACCCAAUCAAUACAUGCCACAUGGAUCACUUAGCAUACACUAUUGGAGGGACGGUUAGAAUAAUUAAUUAGAAAAAUUAAUUAUUAAUUAUUGAUGAGGGAAUUAAAGGAUUUAAUGCCAUCUCAUCAUUUAAGUUACAGUAAUGUAUGGGUCCAAUAGGGCUCGAAUUGGGUCGGGUUUGGAUCAGACAACACUAUGCCCAAGUCCGGCGCAAAAUGUAAAAUUUGGGCUCUAGGUCGCUCUUUUAUCCAAUUUUUUAAACAAUUAAGGCCCGAUUCAAGCUCAGGUCCAAAGCCCAAUAUAUCCAUCAAGCUUUAUUUGGGCCCAUGCAUGCCUUUGUCAAAUAACAUAUAUAUUUAAAUUGUAUCAAAUUAAAAUAAAAUAUCUAUUUUUAUGAGUUUAAGAGUAGAAUUUGAUCACAUUAAUAAUUCGUUUACCUCCAUGGAACUAUACUAGGAAGGUAUAACUAAUUAAACUUUAGAAUGAUACUAUAUAAAAUAUAUUAUAUCCUUAAUUCCUUAUAUAGGAAAAUGUGUAUAAAUAAAUAUCUUGUUAGUUAGGUAACUAAUGUUAUCGAUCUUUUGGGCCGGGUCCGAGCUGGGCUUGGACAUAUCCAAAUAGUUCGGAAGCUUUUUCAGAUCUAAUAUUUUAAUCUGAUCCAAGCCUAAAGUUAUAAUUUAGAUACCCAAAGCUCGGCUCAUACAUGGCCUAACGGGUCGGGGGGCCUUUUUAGGCCCGACCCAGCUCCACCCCAACGGGCCGGGCCUUUUUAGAUGGAAUUUUGUCUCCUCCUUUUUUUUUACAUGACUAUAUUGGAAGCCCUUUCAUCCCUCUCUAGAAAGGUGGUGAGAAUAAAAUAGUGGCUUAAGGAACUUGACGCUCCAUAAAUUUUCGUUUUGUUAUUUUAUAUCUAUAUAUAUAUAUAUAUGUAACAUCUUAUAUAUAGUAAAUAUAUUGUAUACAUAUAUAUUAUAAUAUAUUAUGUAUACAUAUAUAUAUAUAUACUAUGUAUACAUAUAUAUAUAUAUAUAUAUAUAGAGUAAUAUAUACUAUCGGUAGCACGGAGGGCUCCAGUGCCUACAAGUUUCUUUAUCGAUUGUAUGCGGCUUCCAAUCGGCUGAUCGGCUCGUUAGGACUUGAUCUAUACACUUAUUAAAAGAGUAUUAGAAACAAAUUUUUAUAAUUCUUUGAUAUUAUUUACCUAUCAAAAAAUAGUCUUAAUGAUACGGGCUGUGAAAAUAAAAAAUUUCUCAUAAAAAAAUGAGAUGUAAUAGAUUUAAAUUCAAGAUCAGAUAUACUGAUCUUACUCUAAAUAGUGAAAAGAAUUUUCUAUAAAAUUUUCAUCGAAUUUGGAUUGUUUUACACCGUUAAACUCUCAAACACACCACAUCGGCUAUUAAAAUUGUCAAUUUUGAGAUCUUUUGAUCACUAGUCAAAUGAUAUCGAAAAAAUCUGAAAUUUAGUUUCCAAAUAGUUUCAAUAGUGUAGAUCAAGUCUAAUGGAGCCGAUCGUCGAUUUGGAAGCCGCAUCAUCGAAAACAACUUGGUAGCACAAAGGACUCCGUGCUACUGAUAGUAUAGUAGCCGGGCUAUAUAUAUAUAUAUAUAUAUAUAUAUAUAUAUGUAUAUAUAUAUAUAUAUAUGGCUAGAGCUACUAUACCCUUAAGAGUAUAGAGCUCUUCGUACUCAUAAGUUAAUUUCGAUGAUGGAGCUUUCGAAUCGAUGAUCCACUUUGUUAAAUAUGAUCUAGAAUAUUUGAAACUUUUAAAAAUAAAUUUCGUAAUUUCUCGAAAUUAUAAUAAAGUCUAUCAAACAGGCAUAAAAAGAACAAUCAAAAUUGAACGACGUCCUAAAAAUGGAUGAUCAAGUCCUUCAAUUUAAGAUCGGAGUUAUUGAUCUUUAUCUAGGUUGUGAAUAGAAUUUUCUAUCAAAAAUUCAAGCUAUUCCAAUCCUUUUACACUGUUAAACUAGCAAGUAUUCCAUACCAGCCGUUAAAAAUUAUUAAUUUUGUGAUCUUUUGAUUGUAAGGUAAAUGAUGUCAAAAAAUUAUGAAAUUUGAUUUCUAGAAGUUUUAAAUGCUCUAGAUACUGCUUAACAGUAUGGAUCGUCGAUUCGAAAGGUCGAUCAUCGAAAACAACUUAUGAGUACGAUAGCGAUCGUACUCAUAAGAGUAUAAUAGCCAGACUGACUCUCUCUCUCUCUCUCUCUCUCUCUCUCUCUCUCUCUGUCUAUAUAUAAUAUAUAUAUAUACUAUAGUAUAUAAAUAUAGUGUAGAGCUACUAUGCUAUCGAAGUAUAGAGGAUUUGAUGCUUCCGAUUUUUUUCCCUUGGAUCAAUACUGUACGGUUGUGGAUGCAUUGCUGUCCCUCGUAGGUGUAGUAAUACCCCUAGGGUUGAGUGGUCCCCACAAGAUAAUAGUAUUAAUUUAAAGAGCUGAUCUAAGGGAUCAAAAAAUCGGUCAAGCACUCAGAAUCCUCGUAUGUUCCGAGUAACAUUAGAAGCUUAUCUCUCUCUCUCUCUCUCUCUCUCUCUCUCUCUCUCUCUCUCUCUCUCUCUCUCUCUAUAUAUAUAUAUAUAUAUACACUAUCGGUAAUAAACGGCUCAGUUUUACGAGAGAGAGAGAGAGAGAGAGAGAGAGAGAGAGCGUGCGCACGCUAGCUAGGCUAUUAUACUUUUGAAAGUACGGAGGCUUUUGUACUUUUUAGUUGUUUUUAAUGAUAAAAUAUUUGAUUCAGUGAUCGGCUCCAUUAGAUAUGAUUUACAAUGUUAGAACUAUUGAAAAAUCAAAUUUCAUAAUUGUUUGACUUUCUUUGCCCAGUAAACGAAUAGUUUCAAAAUAAAUGGUUUGAAAAUGAAAAUCUCAUAAAAAAUAGUGAUAAAAAAACUCAUAUUAAAUUAAAAAUAUUGAUCAUGCUCUUGAUGAUAAGUAGAAUUUUUUUUAAAAAAAAUUCACCUAAUUUGAAUUUUUCUACAUUGUCGAACUUACAAAAAUGCUAUAUCAACCGUUAAAAUAGUCAAUUUUGAGACCCUUUAAUUAUUUGGCAAAUGAUGUCAAAAAUUUAUAAAAUUUAAUUUCUAGAUAGUUCUAAGAGCAUAAAUCACUUACGUGAAUCCUAAUCCAACCCAAAUAGUUAGAGGCCCAUUUCAGCAUCAUAAAAUUUACAUUGGAGAUCCCUUUAAUCUGAUAUUUAAUUGAGUUCCUAACUUUCUAAUUGUCCAUUAACUUUCUAUCCUAGAUUUAAUUGAGCCCUAAUCUUCUAAUUUUUGCCAUUAAAUCCUUAACCUGUUAUAAUUGUUUCAAUUGGAUUCCUUAUGUCAUAAUCUUUGGUACAUUGACUUUUCCACAUUAGCAACCGCAUAGUACUUGAACAUACUAACUUUAAUUUCUCUGCAGUUGAUUUAGAAUUUACUUAAUGCUUCUUCUGAUAUAUCAUCAGUAACAUAUAACAAUCCUCAAAUUUUAGAUAUGGUGGAUGGAAUUUACAUAUGGGAAAAGGGGGGGAAAUAGUUACAUAAAAUAUUAUUGAAAUAGUACUUGCAAAAAAAAAAAGUUUUUUUUGUUUUUGCAAAUUUACCUUAUCCUAAAAAUAAAAACAUUAAAUUACAGUUCUACAUUUUUUAUUUACCAAAUAAUUUCAUUAAUAAAAAGGCUAUAAGGACAAGAACCAAUUUUGUCAAAUCACUAUCCACUACAAUCACAAAGUAAGUACUCAAUCAUACUUAUAUUUAUGACAUCUAACCGAAAAAUUCUAGAAUGCAACGGAUAUAUUAGUGACGUGGAGUAACAAACCAAUCAAAUUAAUCUUUUUAAGAAUAUAUGUCCCAUCAUGAUUGUAAAAAAGUAUUUUCAUUGUACUUUUUUUUUGAGAGAUAGGUAGCACACUACCCGCUUCGUUUAUUUCAUUUAGAAAUAAACUUAGCUAGAAAUGUGAAUCAACUAGGAUUCGAAUUUGGGUCUCGGGCACCAACCACAAAGCCUUUUGCCACUUGUACUUUUGUUUGAAAAUAAGGAACGUGAUUGGCUUGUUAUUGAUGACGUAGUGCAAGUGUGACAGUGUAGAAUUCCUCCAUCCAACCUAACUCCAAGAUAUUCUAAUUAUUUUUUUUUUUCUUUUUGAAAAAUCAAGAAAGGGGCAUGUGGUCAGAACAGCCACAGACAGUUGUAUCUGCUUGUUGAAAGAAGGAAAAGGAAAGAAGAAAAAGGAGAUAAUUGUCAGCAACCCAAAUGCAUGUGUUUUCUGAUACAGAUUAUAGCAAGUUGCAUCAUGUGAGUAGAUUCCUGCUGCACCAUGAUGAUUGCUCUCUCUCUCUCUCUCUCUCUCAAUUCCUUUUUUUUUGGUCCCAAAAGUGAAAGAUCUUCAAAUCUGCUGCUCUGCUGAUUAGUUUGCUGAGAGGAAUAAUACAUUGCUUGUAUUAAAAGUUUGGAAGAUGCUACUUACCUUCCACUCCACUUUUGUAUCAGUCUACAAGUGAGGCAGUGACUGUGGGGUGCUUUCUUAAUAAAAGUGAGGACUGGAGCUUCUCAUACAUAUAAAGAUAAAAAAAAAUUUACAAAUUAAAAAAUAAAGAUAAAUUUGUCUUUUGUUUAUGAUCAUUUUGGAUAUAAUUUUAAGAGUUAAUUGCAUACACGUCCCUACAAAUAUAAUGAAUUAUAGAUAUAUUCAUGUAAAGCUCAACUUUCAUAAAUUAUUCCUACAAAAAUCGUAAUGUAUUCGGAUAUAUCCCUACCGUAGGAUCCGUUAGAAAUAUUUAGUUAAUCACGAUUAAAAUACUUAAUCAUGAUUAAUUAAUAAGGUGAAUUGACAAUUUUACCCAUCUUUCUCUUUCUCUUCCUCUUCCUCUUCUACUUGCCGGCAUGGUCAUCGUCGUCGCCGGCGAGGGAGGAGAUGCGGCGGGUGAUCGCGGCGAAGAAGGAGGAGCCGCGAUCAUUGUGUCCACAUGGGCCGUCGUCACGAGCGCUUCCGACGGCCUCGGCGCCAUGCUCACCACCACCAACCCCUUAACACCCCCGCCGAGAUCGUCAAGCAGGUCGCCGACGCCACCCCUGCCGUAGCCUUCGCCCCAUGCGCCCUCGUCCCCAAGUUCCCUCCGUGCCCCGACCUCCCCAUCGUCCUUCUCGACGACUCCAGCUUGGCCCCCACCGCCAACGACGACGAUCCCCGGAUCCUCUGCACCAUCGCCAACAUGAUCGCGGCUCAUCCCGACCACGACUCCAUUCCCCACUCGAUGCACGAGCCCAUGCACCAAGAUGCGACCCCUCACGCGUGGUGCUCUGCGGGGACAGCGCCGGGGCCGCCAUCGUGUACCACGCGGCGGCGCAACUCUGCGGCGGCGGUCGCACGGAGGCCUCAGUUGGCUGAGGGGCGUGGCGCUGGUGCAGCCGUUCUUUGGGGGCAGAGGCAAGGACGGCGUCGGAAGAGAAUGAGAGCACGCCGGCGCGGGGGUUGAUACUCAGCCUGGGGAGAUCGAACGGCUACUGGAUACUGGCAGCUGGCGCUGCCGUGCGAGUGCGAUCAGGACCAUCCGUGGUCGUCCGCUCUGCGGGACCAUCCGUGGCCGCCCUCGUCCCCAAGCUCUGCAACGUUGCCACCGCUGUCGUCCACUCCGGCAGCCAGAAAAGAAAGAGAAAGAGGAAGAGCAUUAUUUUGGAGGGACACAUUUGUGAGGGCAAAAUUGUUAUUUCACAAACCUACCAUUAAAAAAUAAACAGUUCUCUAACGGAUUCUAACCAGAGGGACAUAUUUGAAUAUAUUAGAAUUUUUGCAGAGAUAAAUUAUAAAAGUUGAGCUUUGUAGGAAUAUAUCUAUAAUUCACUAUGUUUUGCUGAGAUGUGUAUGCAAUUAACCCUAAUUUUAAUUAGUAUAGUUGAAUCUUCUUAUAUAAUUUCAACUGCAGCCGUUGGAUUUAAAUAUAUCAAAUUAAGCACAGUAAUUGAACCUAUGUGCAGUAAUAACUGCAAUGUGAUUAUAGCUACAUAUUACUAAGCAGCCCUAUAGUGCAGUAAGGUAUUAUUAAGUCUUUUCUAAAUAUUAAAUUUUUUUUUACUUCUUUAGUACAUCCAAAAAAAAUUUGUUAAAAACAAUACUAAAAAAAUAGAAAUCCACAAAUAGCCAACUGGAACAUUUAAGAACAGAGUACCACAUUGAGUUGUGGUCCAAACUAUAUAUAUAUAUAUAUAUAUAUAUAUAUAUAUAUAUAUAUAUAUAUAUAUAUAAUGUAUUUUAAUUAUAUAUAGACUUUAAUUUAAUUUGGGCUAUUAUUGUUGGCCCAUAAAAUAAACCCAACAAGUACAACCGUGCAAUUGAGCCCAACUCUAAAUUUACAUAACACACUCUCUCUUUCAGACUUUCACUGUUGCACAUAACCCUAAAACAUGAUAAUAUUCAAAUUUUCAAAUCCCUAAUUUUUUUUCCUCUCUCUCUCUCUCUCUCUGAUCCUCACCCAGUCAGGCAGUCACCCUAGCUCACAUUUCUUAUAAUUAUUUUGUAUUUUGAACUAUUGAACAUGUUGUAUCAAAUUAUAGGUAAUGUUCUAUAAAAAUUAAACUAUUGAUUAUAUUAUGUCGAGAAUUUCAAUCGGCUCGUUUAGAGCUCGAGCUCGGCUCGACUCGAAAUUAGGCUCGCUCGAGUUCGGCUCGAAUUAAUUUCAAGCCGAGCUUGAGCCUAAAUUUAGGCUCGAAAUUAAUUUCAAGCCGAAUUUGAGCUGACAUAAGCUCGCUCGAGCUCGGCUCGUUUCCACCCCUAACUGCAGCACAUUAAAGGAUGAAAGAUUGGAAGAGUUUUAGAUUUUUUGAAUCUUUCCAAACAUAAAAAUAUGUGUUUUUGCAUUUUUGGACACCAUAACUUCAAACUAAGCUUAUAGAAUUAAUUUUAACUGUAAAUUAUUUUAAGAAAAAAUUUCAAAUAUCAUUCCUGUGGUUUCAUAUUUUUUCACUUUAGUAUCAUGUGGUUUAAAAUAUAUUAAUUUAGUAUCCUGUGAUUUUAUUUUUAUUUUUUUUAUUAUCAAUUUCACUAAUUUUUUUCGUUAAAUCAGUGACAAAGUUAAAACUAAAGGGUAAUAAAAUAAAUAUUUAAUAAACCUAGAUAGGGUAUGUGAAGUUUUUGUAUAUAAUUUAAUAAAAUAAUUAACGAAAAAACUGACGAAAAGAUAAAAAUGAAAUUAUAGAACACUAACUUGAUACACUUCAAACCACAGCAUAGUAAAGUGAGAAAGUGCGAAACCACUGGGGUGGUAUUUAAAGUUUACCCUUAUUUUAAAUCAGCUAUUCAAUCUCCUAAAAAUUUGAUUUUACUAUCUUAUCUUUUAAUUUGUUUGAUUUGAGUCAUUAACUUCAAAACUUUAAAUUAAUUAUUUACUUUAAUAAAUUUAUUAUUAUGAGAAUUGCAUGAAGAAUAUAUUAAUUAAAUAUAUAAAAAUCAGAAAUGCAAAUAAAUUUAAAUGUUAAUUAGAUAGUAAAAUCAAAAUUUUGGAAGGAUUGAAUAAUCGAUUCAAAAUGAUUCAUAGUUCAGAUAAAUUUUGUAUAUUUUACUAUAAAAAUUUUAAUUAAACAAUAAUUAAAGUUUCUUCAGCAAAAUUAAAAAUACCAGAACAAAAUUAAAAGAAAAUCCCCUAUUUUGGGUUCCUCCUAUUAAUUAAUGUACAUAAUAAUAACAAAUAUAAUACAAGCCAGGUAGAUAUAUAUUGUCAUGCGUACGUUCAAUAAUUAGUUCUCAUUAUUAAUUCUUUAUACAAAAAUGUGCUCUUGUCCCCUCAUAUGAUUGGGGUGCCAAUUUGCAUUAUAAGACACGGUUGAACAUUAAUUUUUAGAGUCGAUAUAUAUAUUGCUGAUAAAUUGAUAAAUAUGUAUUAUACUUUACAUCUAUUUAAUAGAAAAUAAGUUCAAAAAGUAUAUUUAAUAUUUCAGUUAUGUGCAUGAUAAAUUUGAAAGACAUGUAAAAUUGACAGAUGAGAUAAAAUAAAAAAAUUUAGAAUCAUUUUUGAUAAAUAAAAAGCUGGCUCAAAUAUAUGCUUGAUAUAUAUAAAAUAUUUUUAAACUGUGCGUAAAAACUUAUUCAUACAUUAUUUAUGUAUUCUAAGGAAAAAAUAAAAAUAAAAAGACUUAUGGAAAGCCUAAGCAAUUUUUAGGAGUUCUCCAGCAAGAAAGAAAGGCUGAUAUAAACCAUGAAAUUUAUUUUACUACUUAUAUAAAGAUAAAAGCAUAUAUAACUUAUCUGAGUUACGGACUAUUUUGAGUUGACUUAUCAAAUCUUUCAACAUUUUGAUUUUACCUUCCAACCUUUCAAUUUGUUUAAUAUGAGUAAGUCAAUUAACAUUACUUUGACUUUAAAAUUUAAAUGCGUCAUUUAUCUUUACAAAUUUAGCUAGUAUAAAUCAUACAAUUUCACAACUAUAAAUUCAUUAAAAUAGAUAAUUAACUUAAAUUUUAAAGUCAAGAACAAAUACAUUGAAAAGCUAGAUAGUAAAAUCAAAAAAUUUUAAAAAUUAGAUAGUCAAAUUAAAGUAAUCUAUAAUUCAGAUAAGUUUUAUACGUUUUUAUCUAGAAAUUAUCAAUGUUUUAAGGAUCGGAUCGAAUAGCAAUUCGAAAAUAUUAUUGGGUCAAGAGUCACUACUUCGACAAAUGGAUCAUGUCACCGCAACAUCAUAAAUAUUUAUUUAUUAUUUUCAAAUUUUAUUAUGUUAAAAAAUAUUCAUAUAUUAGUGAUUCUACUAUCAUACUUAAUUAUAAAUUAUUAAUUUUUAAACUAAAUUAAGUAAAUAUAAGUUUUCAAGUUUUAAUUUUUGGAAUACUAAUCUGUGCUAAAAGAAAAUAAAAUCAGCCAUUGGAUUUUAACCGGAUCACCAAUUUGACAGUUGAACUGUCCAUUCAGAUUGUUUAAAAUAAUUUUUUAACUUAUUCGAUUUAGAGAGUUGAACUGAACUGCUUUAUGAAUUCGAUCACGUUCAGAUAAGUACAAUCGACUAAUUUCACCCGAUUUUUAAAUUAUUAUUAGAAAUUAUAAAUUAGCGGCGCACAUCCGCCCGCCUCCUCAAGUGGAGAGAGCUCACAGUGAUGGAAUGCAGCAAGCAGUUGCGCCGUCGUCUUUUCAAGUGUUGACGGGCGACCAUCCGCCAUUAAUUAUUCGGCUCAUCCGGGCUGGACCACUGGUUGGUGCAACGUUGGCCGGUAGGAACCUACUGCUUGGACAGGGCUCACCAUGUCAUCCAUAGACCACACUUUUUUUUUAUUUUUCCUUCCUUUUAAUCUGUUCUCUGUAAUCACAUAACUUUUCAUUCCAAAAUACGAAUGUACGCACACUCUGAAACCUACAUUAAAAAGUUUGGAAAUUAAAUCUCCGAAGAUACGAGCACAUGGAGGUCAAACUCUCGACCUCUACGAUAUCUACUAUGUACACACUGACGGCAAAUAUAUUUUUUAAAUAGUCCGUGCUCCGCCUUAUAUUUAUGCUAUUUGUUCGAUAGAAAGUCAUUAAAUUUAGAAAUAAAAUUAUUCGACUUAUUAGAAUUUUUCAUAUUAGCAUAUAAGAAGAUAAAAAAUAUUACAACCGCUAACUUUUAUUACUUUUUUAAUU